rnacentral:rRNA from 1 species
UACGAAGGGGGCUAGCGUUGCUCGGAAUCACUGGGCGUAAAGCGCACGUAGGCGGAUUGCUAAGUCAGGGGUGAAAUCCUGGAGCUCAACUCCAGAACUGCCCUUGAUACUGGCGAUCUCGAGUCCGGGAGAGGUGAGUGGAACUGCGAGUGUAGAGGUGAAAUUCGUAGAUAUUCGCAAGAACACCAGUGGCGAAGGCGGCUCACUGGCCCGGUACUGACGCUGAGGUGCGAAAGCUAGGGGAGCGAACAGG